AUUGAACGCUGGCGGCAGGCCUAACACAUGCAAGUCGAGCGGAUGAAGGGAGCUUGCUCCUGGAUUCAGCGGCGGACGGGUGAGUAAUGCCUAGGAAUCUGCCUGGUAGUGGGGGAUAACGUCCGGAAACGGGCGCUAAUACCGCAUACGUCCUGAGGGAGAAAGUGGGGGAUCUUCGGACCUCACGCUAUCAGAUGAGCCUAGGUCGGAUUAGCUAGUUGGUGGGGUAAAGGCCUACCAAGGCGACGAUCCGUAACUGGUCUGAGAGGAUGAUCAGUCACACUGGAACUGAGACGCGGUCAAGACUCCUACGGGAGGCAGCAGUGGGGAAUAUUGGACAGUGGGCGAAAGCCUGAUCCAGCCAUGCCGCGUGUGUGAAGAAGGUCUUCGGAUUGUAAAGCACUUUAAGUUGGGAGGAAGGGCAGUAAGUUAAUACCUUGCUGUUUUGACGUUACCAACAGAAUAAGCACCGGCUAACUUCGUG
rnacentral:rRNA from 1 species